ensembl:snoRNA
CUUCCCAUUGAUUUGCUGCUCUAGUCUGGCAAUGAUAUGAGCAGUUAUAUGCAUGGGAUAGAGUGACAUGGGAUCUUUGUAAAUGGGGAUGAAGUGACAGUUUCAUCCCGCCUGCAUGGUCUUAAUAUUA